UUACGGCCACAUCAUGUUGAAACGUCGGUUCCCGUACGAUCACCGAAGUUAAGCAACGUCAAGACUGGUCAGUACCAAGAUGGGUGACCGCUUGGGAAUACCGGUUGCUGUAAG
rnacentral:rRNA from 1 species